GAUGGGCAUGCGUUGUAUUAGCUGGUUGGUGAGGUAACGGCUCACCAAGGCGACGAUACAUAGGGGGACUGAGAGGUUAACCCCCCACAUUGGUACUGAGACACGGACCAAACUCCUACGGGAGGCAGCAGUGAGGAAUAUUGGUCAAUGGACGCAAGUCUGAACCAGCCAUGCCGCGUGCAGGAUGACGGCUCUAUGAGUUGUAAACUGCUUUUGUACGAGGGUAAACCCCGAUACGUGUAUCGGGUUGAAAGUAUCGUACGAAUAAGGAUCGGCUAACUCCGUGCCAGCAGCCGCGGUAAUACGGAGGAUCCGAGCGUUAUCCGGAUUUAUUGGGUUUAAAGGGUGCGUAGGCGGUUUGAUAAGUUAGAGGUGAAAUGUCGGGGCUCAACCCCGAAACUGCCUCUAAUACUGUUGGACUAGAGAAUAGUUGCGGUAGGCGGAAUGUAUGGUGUAGCGGUGAAAUGCUUAGAGAUCAUACAGAACACCGAUUGCGAAGGCAGCUUACCAAACUAUAUCUGACGUUGAGGCACGAAAGCGUGGGUAGCAAACAGGAUUAGAUACCCUGGUAGUCCACGCAGUAAACGAUGAUAACUCGUUGUCGGCGAUACACAGUCG
rnacentral:rRNA from 1 species